rnacentral:lncRNA from 1 species
GACAGGUAUAAACUUAACCCAAAACUUAUAGUCUUUUGCGGGCCUGAGUCCAAUAAAAGAACAGUUGAAGGUUGAAACAGGGAAAGGAAUAAUUGAACAGAAAGGUAUCCAUGAUGAUUUCUACCUGAAACCAAUACCAAAGCAACAAAUAUUAAACCAGUUGUUAAACAAAGGCUGAAUCGGAACAAAAUUUAAAAGGAUAAGAAAAAGACCUUUUUUCAUUAUCAAACCAGACAAUGAUGGUUAGUCCUCGUUGGAAAGUUUUUACAAACAUUCCUUCCAUGUUGGUUUUCGACAUUUGUCUCAAAAUAUUAC